rnacentral:rRNA from 1 species
GUACACUCCUACGGGAGGCAGCAGUGGGGAAUUUUGGACAAUGGGCGAAAGCCUGAUCCAGCAAUGCCGCGUGAGUGAAGAAGGCCUUCGGGUUGUAAAGCUCUUUUGUCAGGGAAGAAACGGUGAAAGCUAAUAUCUUUUGCUAAUGACGGUACCUGAAGAAUAAGCACCGGCUAACUACGUGCCAGCAGCCGCGGUAAUACGUAGGGUGCAAGCGUUAAUCGGAAUUACUGGGCGUAAAGCGUGCGCAGGCGGUUUUGUAAGUCUGAUGUGAAAUCCCCGGGCUCAACCUGGGAAUUGCAUUGGAGACUGCAAGGCUAGAAUCUGGCAGAGGGGGGUAGAAUUCCACGUGUAGCAGUGAAAUGCGUAGAUAUGUGGAGGAACACCGAUGGCGAAGGCAGCCCCCUGGGUCAAGAUUGACGCUCAUGCACGAAAGCGUGGGGAGCAAACAGGAUUAGAAACCCUUGUAGUCCCAUG